rnacentral:misc_RNA from 1 species
AUUAUGUGGUUAUUAUGUAUUGAUGAUGUGAUUGCGUAUGUAUUGAUGAUGUGGUUGAUUGGGUAUUGAUUAUAUGGUUUAUUAUGUAUUGAUUAUGUGUUUAUUAGGUAGUGAUUAGUGAUUGAUAGGUGUUGAUUAGGGGAUUGUGUAUGUAUUGAUUAGGUGGUUGAUUAGGAAUUGAUUAUUUGAUCGCGUAUGUAGUGAUUACGUGGUUGGUUGUUUAUUG